AUUGAACGCUGGCGGCAAGCCUAACACAUGCAAGUCGAACGAGUGGCGGACGGGUGAGUAAUGUCUGGGAAACGGCCUGCUGGAGGGGGAUAACGACUGGAAACGGUAGCUAAUACCGCAUACCGUCGGAGGUGCCAAGGUGGGAUUAGCUAGGAGGUGGGGGAAAGGCUCACCUAGGCGACGCUCCCUAGCUGGUCUGAGAGGAUGACCAGCCACACUGGAAAUGAGACACGGCCCAGACUCCGACGGGAGGCAGCAGUGGGGAAGCUUGCACAAUGGGGGCAAGCCUGAUGCAGCCAUGCCGCGUGUAUGAAGAAGGCUUUCGGGUUGUAAAGUACUUUCAGCGGGGAGGCGUUACCCGAAGAAGAAUCACAGGCUAACUCCGUGCCAGCAGCCGCGGUAAUUC
rnacentral:rRNA from 1 species